rnacentral:ncRNA from 1 species
AGUCUUCGGGGCGGGGCGAAAUUCCCCACCGGCGGUAAAGUCCGCGACCCACUUUAUGUGGCUGAACCGGUGUGAUUCCGGUACCGACAGUAUAGUCUGGAUGAGAGAAGAA